GAUGAACGCUGGCGGCGUGCCUAAUACAUGCAAGUCGAGCGAACGGACGAGAAGCUUGCUUCUCUGAUGUUAGCGGCGGACGGGUGAGUAACACGUGGAUAACCUACCUAUAAGACUGGGAUAACUUCGGGAAACCGGAGCUAAUACCGGAUAAUAUUUUGAACCGCAUGGUUCAAAAGUGAAAGACGGUCUUGCUGUCACUUAUAGAUGGAUCCGCGCUGCAUUAGCUAGUUGGUAAGGUAACGGCUUACCAAGGCAACGAUGCAUAGCCGACCUGAGAGGGUGAUCGGCCACACUGGAACUGAGACACGUUCCAGACUCCUACGGGAGGCAGUAGUAGGGAAUCUUCCGCAAUGGGCGAAAGCCUGACGGAGCAACGCCGCGUGAGUGAUGAAGGUCUUCGGAUCGUAAAACUCUGUUAUUAGGGAAGAACAUAUGUGUAAGUAACUGUGCACAUCUUGACGGUACCUAAUCAGAAAGCCACGGCUAACUACGUG
rnacentral:rRNA from 1 species